CCCAAAUUAUCUGUCUUAGAGGGUUUCAUCCUUAGUGGGAUGCAAAAGACCACAGAGUGAUUCUAAUUGACUUUUAAUUCUAACAGUAAAAGAUCAGAUGGUUGCUCCAUGCCCAGCUGGUUCCUUGGAUACAGAAAGGAGCCAAGGUGAUACAGACCUUACAGGGCACGUGUUGACUUAAAGUGUUGAGCUCUUAACUGAAUUCUCCUUGGAGGCAAGCCCCUGUUUGGUGAAGAAAAGAGUGUGCAGCCAAGUAAAAAUACCUUGCAAAUUGUUAUAUGCGAUUUAACUGUAGGACACUGUUGCUCAUAGUCAGAAUUGUUAUCAUCCCUUCUAUUUAUUGAGCUGUUAUUAGACACCAGGCACUGUUCUAAGCACUUUGCAGGUGUUAACCCACUGUCUUCUUGUAAUAAGGCUUUCUUUUCUCUGAGGCUCAGAGAUGUGAGUGCUAUGAUUAUCUCCAUUUUACAGACGGCAAGGCCGAGGCUUAGAGGAUUGUCAAAAAGAUCUGUCAGUGAGGCACAGAGGACAGGGAGAAGUGGAGAAGACCCAGACCUUGAUAUCCAGUGCAAGGUGGGGUGGGUGACUAUUUCCACCCAACCACAGCUUUCUCUCUGGCAGUGCAUCUGGGGAAGCCCUUAAAGGAAAACUGGACCUAAGAGGGUGAGCCAGCUGUGGGCAGGCACCAAGUCAGAGUUGGGAUCAUUGCAUCCUCAUUGGUCCUAACUUGGCUUGAUGCAUCCCUGCUGUUCAAUGGGCAACUCUAAGAGCCAGCUCCAGGCCAACCAGCAGGCUGGGUUAAGGCAGGCAGAGAUAAAGGCCCUAGUUUGCAUUUUCAAAGAGACUCAGUUAGACAGACUCAGACAAGAAACAGAGUUGUGGGGGAAUGAAGCCUAGGGAAGGAGGUAGCAGGUCAGGGCAUUCAUGCAGCUUGGCUGAAUAUGUAGAGGGCUGUAGAAGAGAGUGUCCCACAGGGAGUGCUCAUCCACGAGAGGGAGCAGAGCUCAACAGCUUGGAGAAAAGAGAAGGCACUUCUGGACUGGGGCUGUAGCUCAGUGGCAGAGCACUUGCCUAGCAUGUGUGAGACACUGGGUUCCAUCCUCAGCACCACAUAAAAAAAUAAAUAAAGAAUAAAGGCAUGCUGUCCAUCUAUAUCUAUAUCUAUAUAUCUAUAUCUAUAUAUAAAGAAAAGGCACUUCUACCUCUUUUGCCCUCUUUGUCCCGGGACUCAGCAGACCUGUAAUCAGACCCAUAAUUUUACACUAUGUAUUACGUAUAUACUAUUGCUUCCUCCCUUUUAAAGCAAUGAGUUAAUUGCUCCCGGAUCCUAGCUCUCUACGAUAGGUGAGUACCAGUAUCCAAGAUUUCCUCAAUAUGCUGGAAUUUUGACUUCUCAAAGGUUUUCCACUACUGGGGAUGCUCUUCUUUUUGUUUGAUAAAUUAGCAUGCACUACUUAAAUAGGGCGCUAUUUACAAAGAUGUGGGAAGCCAGAAGGGAGAGAUGGCUGAGACCCCAUGGCUAAUGAUGGAGGGCACAGUGCAUGAGCUGCACCUGAUGUGAGAGAGCUCUGCAUAAAGAACUGCCCAGAGGGGCUGAGACUUUAUGUUCCUGGACAGUGCAGGGAGGGAGCCAGGGGAAUAUAGGCUGACUGCAUCCUUCUCCUACCUUUCCAGCCCUCUGCCAGCUCCUCCCACUGGCAGUACCAACUGGAGUCCAUCUGGAAGCAGGGAGCAAACAGUUGGAUCAUCACUUUUUCUUUUUUUUUUUUUCAGCACUGAGGAUUGAACCCAGGGCCUCAUGUGCGCUAGGCAAGCACUGUAUCUGAGCUACAUCCCCAGUCCAACAGCAAGGGGUUAGAGGAUGCUAUCAUAGAAGUCAGCCUCCUCUGGCAUAGAGCAAGGAUAUAUUUUUGCUCACAGAAGAAAGACCAUGAACAGACACAGGGAGAUCUACAAGGCAAGGAGCAAGGCCUCAGAAGAAACCAGUCUUGCUGACACCUUGAUCUUGGAUUUCUAGCCUCUGGAAUUGUGAAAAAUGCAUUAGUGCUGUUUUAGCCACCUGUUCUGUGAUACUUUGUUAUGGCAGCCCUGGAAAACCUAACACAAUCAACAAGUGAUUCAGUGCACCACUUAUCAAUUAUGUCUCUGCCUCUUCAACUCUCUUAUUGGUCAGCUGAUAUCUCUAGGACUCAGCACAGAGUCAUUUAAAUGCUUGUGAGAAGAAUUGGAACAUUUCUCAAAAAAAUAAAAUAAAACAAUCAGGUAA